AGGCUAUAUAAGGAGCUACUGGCUCCCCGUCUCAGUCUUUUACGUAGGCCUUCGUGGUCGUUUGGUCGUGUGGUAGGUAAGCGUCGGUGUUGCGGGCGAGUACUGGAGCAAAAGGUGGAGGUGCAGGCCGAGUUAAGAGUUUUGAUAGUGUGAAACCAUCUUAGUGUAGAGCUUAGAGUGCUGAGAGUUGAAAGCUUGCACGUGGGAAAUGUGCAGCCCGACCGCCACAUGUACUGAGAUUGAGUCGUGACGGCCACAGGCUCCGAGUUUUGGCGUGAGGAGAACGCUGAUCGGCCACGGGUGCCGCGCUUGCUGGCCUCUGGCAUGUGCCUGAACGGCGGCGGAAAAACCACACUUAAUUGGGGCAGAGGGUUAGUUUUAAGAGCAAGGGGCUUUUACUAAAAUGGCGAAGACCUUCCGUCGGCGUUGUUUUAAAACGGGCAGCCUCAACCCUGCAUUGAGACUGAGCUGUUCGAAGGCGGCGUUGUGUGCAAUUCGGAUUAAUGAAGGGGAAAGGUUUUGUGUGGAAAAACACCUUGGAGUGUGACGUUUCUGCGAGAAUACUUAAAUAUCGGUUUCCCGCAGGAACAAUGGCGCUGUCAUGGCCCAGCAGAGCAGCUCUGAAGAUGCAAAGAUACAUGAAAGAAUUCCAGAAUAUGCGGGAGAAUAUUUAA
rnacentral:lncRNA from 1 species